rnacentral:lncRNA from 10 species
UGAAGAUUGACAUCCAUUAAGGCCAAUGGUAGCUCAAUCUUCUGUUCUCUGACUCCCAAGCUUCCCAUUCUCUUAGGAGGCUGCAUUUGUGGCGCUAAAAAAAGGGAUGGGCGUGGGAGAUUCCAGGACUUGUGCUCGCUGAAGAUACAACUGUUAGUCCAAGGGGUGACCCUGGAGAUCAUUACCAAAAUUUAAAAAUUUCACCACUGGGCACACAUGUUACCCUUCUCGUGAUGGCAUGGCAAAGCUUGAUUUGCAAGAGUUUCUUUUGGAUUGUCCCCAAUGAUUCCCUUUAAAAAUAGGAGCUCCUUCAAGCUCCUGUAUCAGCAGUGCUUGCACCUCAUAGGUGAUGAUCAUGAGGGGGACAAGGAGCCUCUAGACUUAAGAGACAAGUUGCCAGCAUUCUCCAGAUGGAGUGUUUCCCUCCGCAGCACCCCCUGCUGGUCAGUUUGACAAGCAGGUGAACAGAAGUUCUCAAAUACACAAUAGUAGAUUCUAUCAAUCAAGUUUCAUAAAGAGUUCUGAUUCCCAGAGAUAGCAGAUUCUGUCAACCACAUUUCAUAAAGAGUUCUGAUUCUAAGAGAGCCAUACACCUGAAGGAGGGAUGGAAAGACUAGGAGAGCCUGGGAUCCUCAGAGAUGGAGAUCUGGAUGUGAAGAGAAAGAGAAAAACAAAAGUCAACAGACAGUACUGUGACCAAGUCAGUGAUGGUGAGAUCAGCAGCAUCUCUAGGACCCUUCUGAUUGACAUGAAGUCACCAUCAAGUAGGCAGAACUCACAGGACUUAUGGAGCAAGGAUGACUGACACAAACACAAAAAUCAUUCUGCCUGUUGAAUGAAUCAUAAAAUACUGUCUUUGAUCCAGGAGGCUUGUGUCAUCUGCCAGCAUUUAUGAAACUGUGCUCCAAGUAGGCCUUUGUGUUUUUAUUUCAGAUGUGCUUUCUUAUGUACUGACUGUGAUCCCCAAAUUCAUAUGUUGAAGUCCCAACUCCAAAUGUAUUUGGAGGUGGGCCUUUCAGACGUAAUUGAGUUUAGAUGACGUCAUGAGGGUGGAGCCCCCAUGAUGACACUAAGUCCUUCUAAGAAAAGGAAGAGAGUCUGAGCCCUCCUCUACACCAUGUGAGGGCACAGAGAGAGAGCAGCCAUCAACAAGCUGAGAGAGGAGGACUGAGAAUGAAACCUACCUCGCCAGAACCUUGUCAUAUCCCUUCCCGGUUUCCAAACGAGUGAGAAAUCAAUUUCUGUUGUGUAAGCUACUCAGUGUAUGAAACUUUGUUAUGGCAGCCAGAGCAGAUUAAUGCAUGCUUCUUGGACUUUGUUUUUAACUCAAUAUGAAAAACAUAUGUUUUAAUAAAAAAAUUACCCCAUUCAUCUGUAUUGUGUUUACUGAUAAUUUUGGACUUAUUUUUGCCAUAUUUAAGAAAUCCUCCUUCCUCUUUCCCAUGCUUUCUUGUGUUUUUUUA